GACGAGGACUGACAGUGGGAGAUAUGAUUUUAACCGCCCGAGAGCUCCCAUUACCUGGGUUACUUUGGUAAUCAUGAUUAUAUGUUCAUCCCAAGAUAAGAGCUCAUCCAAUUCAAUGGCUAAGCUUUUGUAUGUUUUAACACUCGCUUAAUAGUAUGUCCAUUAGCUGAAAUUUCCGGUUGAUCAGGUAUGGUUGCUAACUUGUGGCGUGAGGAUAUAAACAUACAUUUAGUUUUAAGAGCAUUUAAGCUUAGUUUAUUAGCAUCGAGCCAAUUUUUUAGGAUAUUUAGGUCGCUGUUCAUAGCAGAGAAAACUUGGUUGUAGUCUUUAUUCCGCAUAUGUCAAAUUUGUGUCAUCAGCAAAAAGGCGGCAGUCAGACAUGAGAUUACGAUCUGCAUGGUAGAUCGUUAAUAUAUAUCAGAAAUAGGAGUGGCCCCAAAAUAGAUCCUUGUGGGACCCCACACUGAAGACUGCAUUUUUGCGAUGAUAUAUUAUU